GUGCUGUCAGCUCAGGAGGUACCCCCAUGAGCUCUGGAGCAAAAGUUUGUCUCGCAGUUACCCAUGAGAGGAGGUAGAUACCUUGGGAGGGCAGAACAACCUCUGACCUAUACAGCUUUGCCACUGUUGGAAUCGGACAGAUUUUUCACAUCUUCACAGUAGUGCGGAUGCUGAAGUGCCUUUCUAAUGCAGCCUUCAACCUGUGCUUGCUUGAGGACUCUAUCUGGGAGGCUGAGGGAGGCUUUGGAAAAGGAAGAACAUGAUCUGAGUGGCAGGUGCAGUAGUCUCAGGAAACACAAGUCAAAAAGUCUUCCCUUGUUUUUUUCUUUUCGUGACAUAAGAGUCUUCUAAGAGUUGAAACUAUACACUCAUCUGAAGAGCUGGUGUACCAUCCUGCUGCUUGUGUCCCUGCCACCACUGUCCAUGACCAUAUACAGCUGAAAAAGCUGUGGAUCUUUGUCUGAAGCUGACAAGGUUCUUAUUCAAAUGGAACUGAAUUUAUUUGUCUUUCAAGGAUGACCUGUUACCAAUGAUAAAUUAGCAUAUGAUAAUUUUCAAUUUGCAGCAUCUUUUGCUGUAAUUUACUUUU